UAAAUUGAAGGUUUGUCCGCGGCUCAGAUUGAACGCUGGCGGCAGGCCUAACACAUACAAGUCGAACGGUAACGAGGCUUGGCUGCUGCUGUUAGUGGCGGACGGGUGAGUAAUGUCUGGAAACUGCCUGAUGGAGGGAUAACUACGACGGUGGCUAAUACCGCGCAUAACGUCGCAAGACCAAGAGGACCUUCGGGCACUCUGCCAUCAGAUGUGCCCAGAUGGAUUAGCUAGUUGGUGAGUAACGGCUCACCAAGGCGACGAUCUAGCUGGUCUGAAGGGAUGACCAGCCACACUGGAACUGAAGACGGUCGGAACUCCUGAGGAGGCAGCGAUGGGGAAUAUUGCACAAUAGGCGCAAGCCUGAUACGCGCAAGCCCGAUGCAGCCAUGCCGCGUGUAUGAAGAAGCGCCUUCGGUUGUAAAGUACUUUCAGCGGGAGGAAGUUGCAGCCGGUUAAUAACCACAGCAAUUACCGUUACCCGCAGAAGAAGCACCGGCUAACCCGUGCCAGCAGCCGCGGGUAAUACGGAGGGUGCAAGCGUUAAUCGGAAAUCAUUGGGCGUAAAGCGCACGCAGGCGGCCCGCUGCUGUCAAGUCGAUGGCAAACUCCCGGCUCAACCGGGAACUGCAUCUCCGAAACGUAUGGCAGGCUUGAGUCUUGUAGUGAGGGGGUAGAAUUCCGUGCGUAGCGGUGAAAUGCGUAGAGUAUCUGAGUGAAUACCGGCAUAGCGCGGCCCCGACAAAGACUGACGCUCAGGUGUGCGAAAGCGGGGAUAAACAGGAUUAGACACCGUAGUCCGCACGCCGCAAACGUGAGCGUCUACGGCGGUUGUGCCCUUUGAGGCGUGGUUGGCUAUUUCCGAGCUAACGCGCUGGCAGACCGCCUCGGGAGUACGGCCGCAAGGUUAAACUCAAAAUGAAUUGACGGGCCCGCACAAGCGGUGGAGCACAUGUGGUUUUAAUUCGAUGCAACGCGAAGAACCCUACUCGGCUCCUAAUAUCCACAGAACUUUCCAGAGAUGGACUGGUGCCUUCGGGAACUGUGAGACAGGUGCCGCAUGCAUUGCCGUCAGCUCGUGCUGUGAAAUGUUGGGUUAAGUCCCGCACCCGAGCGCAAACUCUUAUCCUUUGUUGCCAGCGGUCCGGCUGAACUCAGCGGAGACUGCCAGUGAUAAACUGGAGGAAGCGAUGACGUCAAGUCAUCAUGGCCCUGGCAUGACCGUGGCUACCACGUGCUGCUACACGGGCGCAUACAAAGAGAAGCGACCUCGCGAGAUGCGGACCCUCAUAAAGUGCGCGUCGCAGUCCGGACCGGAGUUCAAAACCCCACCGCGAAGUCGGAAUCGCUAGUAAUCGUGAUCGAAUGCCACGGUGAAUACGUUCCCGGCCCAGGCCACACCUUCCGUCACAAUUGGCUGGGGAGUGGGUUGCAAAGUUAAAGUAGUAGCUUAACCUUCGGCGGGCGCUUACCACUUGGUGAUCUGGCGACUGGGUGAAGUCGUACCGCGGCCCGCGUAGGUAAAACCGCGCUAACACCCUUA
rnacentral:rRNA from 1 species